AUUGAACGCUGGCGGCAUGCCUUACACAUGCAAGUCGAACGGUAACAGGUUAAGCUGCCGAGUGGCGAACGGGUGAGUAAUGUAUCGGAACGUGCCCAGUCGUGGGGGAUAACUGCUCGAAAGAGCAGCUAAUACCGCAUACGACCUGAGGGUGAAAGCGGGGGAUCGCAAGACCUCGCGCGAUUGGAGCGGCCGAUAUCAGAUUAGGUAGUUGGUGAGGUAAAGGCUCACCAAGCCGACGAUCUGUAGCUGGUCUGAGAGGACGACCAGCCACACUGGGACUGAGACACGGCCCAGACUCCUACGGGAGGCAGCAGUGGGGAAUUUUGGACAAUGGGCGCAAGCCUGAUCCAGCCAUGCCGCGUGCGGGAAGAAGGCCUUCGGGUUGUAAACCGCUUUUGUCAGGGAAGAAAAGGUUCUGGCUAAUACCUGAGACUCAUGACGGUACCUGAAGAAUAAGCACCGGCUAACUACGUG
rnacentral:rRNA from 1 species